UACGGAGGGGGUUAGCGGUGUUCGGAAUGACUGGGCGUAAAGCGCGCGUAGGCGGAUCAUCAAGUCGGGGGUGAAAUCCCGGGGCUCAACCCCGGAAUGGCCUUCGAGACUGGUGGUCUUGAGUUCGAGAGAGGUGAGUGGAAUUCCGAGUGUAGAGGUGAAAUUCGUAGAUAUUCGGAGGAACACCAGUGGCGAAGGCGGCUCACUGGCUCGACACUGACGCUGAGGUGCGAAAGCGUGGGGAGCGAACAGG
rnacentral:rRNA from 1 species